rnacentral:lncRNA from 1 species
AAAGCCAAAUAGAACAUCCGGAGAUGCUUGAUAACAAGGAAAUCACUACCCAAUACCAACCAACAUCCUUCAUCUACAAAUUUCUAAAGCCGCACUUUCGAUAUUUGACUUUUCAAAAACCUGAAGAUUCAGUUGGUUUAUUGUUGCCUUCAUUGUCUCGUUUGUCAUGUUUGCAAUAUCUUGACCUGAGUUUCUGCAAUCUUUUUCAAAUCCCUUAUGCAAUUGGGUUGUUACAUUGCUUAGAAACCCUAUAUUUGGGGGGAACAAUUUUGUGACACUACCUUCUAGCUUGAAAGAACUUUCCAAACUUAAAGAAUUAAACUUGCAGCAUUGUAAGCGCCUGAAAUAUUUUCCUGAACUCCCAUCAAAAACUGUUUUGCCGGUAAGAAAAACAUGUUUUGGUAGAUAUUCAGCUGGGUUAUAUAUAUUUGACUGCCCCAGUUUAGUUGAGAUGGAAAACUAUUUUGGAAUUGCUUUUUCUUGGAUGAUACAACUUCUUCAGGUGACUACUCCAUCCUUUUUCCUUUUGUCUGUAUUUAUAUAUUUGUUUUUAUGUGAUUGAACUAAUUUAUUUGAUACCAGGUUCACAUGCAAUCCGAGAUCCCAAUGGAAGAGAUUACAAUUGUUAUUCCCAAAACUCAAAUUCCAAAGUGGUUCACCAAACAAAUUGUAGGCAGUUCAAUAAGCAUCGAUCCAUCAUCCAUUAUGCAUGACAAGAAUUUGAUAGGCAUCGCUUGCUGCUUAACAUUUGUAGUGCAAGAUAAUCCUACUAAUUUAAGGGAAGAACUGUCAUCUUAUAUUGCGUUUGGUUUUAAAGGUACACGGUGUGGGAUCUAUCCAAAUAUUCCCUUACAUCUUGAAAAAGAUCUGGUCACAGUUGAUUUAGAUCACCUGUUGCUAAUUUUUUUCAGUAGGGAGAAAUUUAUUGAUUUGAUAAGUCGUGCAACAGAUGGAUGGGAUGAUAUUAGUGGUAUUGAAUUGAGUGCUAUGGUUAGGCAGCCCUUUGGUUUGCAUUUGGAGGUAAAAAGUUGUGGUUAUCGUUGGAUAUUUAAGGAGGAUCUGGAACAAUUAAACCCACAAAAGAUGUACAAGGGAAAUUCGUCAGUUCAGCCAUAUUAUUGAGCUGAUUGAUGAAAAACUCUGAAAUUCAGUAGAAUUAGUUUGAUAAUUUCUUUUUCAAAGAUGAUUUUUUGUUAGUUUUCUUUUUAUCUAGUGUCAAUAUUAAUUUACAUUGUUAUAGUGAUAACAAUGAACAUGUUUUGAUCAUUGAUUCUCUUUAAUGAGAUAUUGCUAAAUGCCAAAGUCUUGGAUAUAUUAAUGUCAAUGUUAAGUUGAAGUUAUUGGUGGUCUAGCUCUUCUAAAACCUCUGUCACACUCCCUAUGACAUUGCUUUGUUGUGAAAUGAAGUCUUACCUGUUGUAAAUUUUAAGAGUUUGAGAUGAUGUUGUUUUAAAGUAAAAAAUACAUUAAACUCUUAGAAUUUUUAAAGUUAAAUCUUGUUUGAUUUAUGAGUAGAUUAAUCUAUGCGGAAUAUUUUAAUUGCUACAUAUUACAAAGAUAAAUUGAGUAGAUAAAUUGUAAAAUAGACUCAACAUGACAACUUUUUAUGCAGUUUAAUUUGAAAAUGGAUCAUGAAAUUUGAUAAAACUGCAUGCAAUUGAAUUUUUAUCUCUCAAAAUUGUAAAAUAGACUCAACAUGACAACUUUUUAUGCAGUUUAAUUUGAAAAUGGAUCAUGAAAUUUGAUAAAACUGCAUGCAAUUGAAUUUUUAUCUCUCAUUAAAUCAUCUGACCAUUUUUUUUGCCUAAAGUACAAACUAUAAAAAUACCAAAAUACCCUUUUCAAAAACAAAUAUAUCCACCAAUCCUUCAUGUUUGACCUUUGUAAUGAUUAGAUCGUUUUUGUUAUUUUUUUCCGCAAUAGUCAUUUCAGUUACACAAUAUUUACAACAUUGGACACAAAAUAUCAUUUUAUUAAAGAUAAAUGCUACUGUAUAAAUUAAGUUAGUAACAUGGACAUCAAACACUCUUUAAUGUCCAUGGGAACAGUCAUUGACUCGUCAUUUUCAUCCUCAAAACCAUUAUUUCUGGUAAUUUUAAAAACCUAAAUAAUUUACUACUCUCUCCGUUUUUUAUUAUAAAUCGUUUUUGAUUUUUCACACGUAUUAAGAAAUGUAAUAAUUGUUGUAUGAAAAAGAUAAAUUAUGAAAGAUUUUACAAAAUUGUCCUUCAUUAAUGAUAUUGGAAAAAAAAAAUUAACAUAAUUGAAAGGAGAGAGAAUAAUAAAUAUUUAAGGGUUUAAUAGGAAAAAUAACAUUAAUGAUUUAUUGGUAUUAUAAAACGAUUUAUAUUGUGGUACAAAAUAUUUUUUCAAAAUAACUUAUAAUAAAAAAUGGAGGUAGUAUAACACUAUAACAACCAUUUAAAAAAAAAGUCAAAACAAACAUCCUUCAACAUUUAGUCAAACGUCAAAAUCACCUUCUUUGCACCAUUUGUUGGAACUAGACAUGGUAAUGAGGUGGGUAAAAUUUUUUUUUUUACCUUUGCCAAACCUAAAUCCAAAUCUCAAAACAAUCAUCCUUCUCCGUUCCAAUUGUCAAUGGGAUGGAGAAUUAAAACUCAAACACAUCCCAAACAAGUUUGGAUUAGGUUGGGGUAUUCGCGCCUCGCCACCAUCUAUUUAAUGAAAUUAAUUUUUUUAAUAAAAAUAUUUAUUUUUUCAAAAUCAAACUAUAUUACAAAUAGUAAAAUAAAAAAAAUUUAAAAAAAUUCAAGUGUACAUUUCAAAUAUUUUAAAUGAUAAAUACAAAAAAAUUAAAAAAUUAAUCACAUAUUUAAUUUUCUAAAUUAUCAAAAAUAAAAUAAUAAAAUAAAUAAGGCGGGUUCAGGGACAGAUUCAAGGUGACUACUAAUGUCCCUAUUAUAUGAUCCUUCCCCAUAUUUUAUAAUCGGGGAAAAUCCAAAUCCGUAUAUAAAUCCAGUCAAAGCAUAUUUUUUUGUCAAAUUCGAGGCGGGUUCACAUUACUACAAAAAGUGCUUUUAACGUCGGACGCAAAAUGCAUUUUACCUCGGAUGCAGUAGCGAGGUGACAAAGGACGUCAUGAAAAAUUGUCACUUAUCACCUCAGUGAUUUAAAAACCGAGGGAUAAUAUUAUAUGCACAUGAGUUCGAACCCCAACAACAACACUUUUAUUAUUUUCAAAACUAGUGUAUCUUCUAUCUCAAUUUAUCUUAAAAACCGAGAGGUGAGAUUUUUUUUUAUAAAAUUAUUACAUUGUUUACCCAUAAUAUUACAUUGUUUACAUAAAAUAUUAAAAUAAAAACCAGAUAAUAUUCUCUAGAGAUAUAGAUAAAAAUCAAAUUCCAUAGGGAUCUUCGAGUUAUUGAAUCCUGGGGAAGAUCAAAUGUUGGAUGCAAGAUUAUUAUUCUCUACGGAUUUUGCAUGCAUUUGAUUCUGAAGCAAAAUAAAAUAAGGGUUAGAUAAAUAAAAUCAAUAUUCAAAUAAAUGAUUUUGUGCUCAAAUAAAUAUUUAAGAAAACUAACCUUAAACUCAAGUAAUUUUCUGUUCUUGCAAUCCAUCUUAGAGAAUUUUUUCAAACGUCUUUAUGUUUCAAGCAAUGUUUUAAAAACCCGACCGGAGAUCGAACCGGUGAAACUUGCAGUUUAAACAAGUAAUUUUCUGUUCUUGCAAUCCAUCUUAGAGAAUUUUUUCAAACGUCUUUAUGUUUCAAGCAAUGUUUUAAAAACCCGACCGGAGAUCGAACCGGUGAAACUUGCAGUUUAAGGUUUAAUUGGCUCAACCGGUUAAACCUACAGUCGAACUGUUUAUUAAAUGAAUCAGUAAUAUGAAACUAAAUUUCAUAAAUAUAUCACUCAUAAUCAUACGUUCACAACUUAAUAAAAAUAAACAUUUCAAAAAUCUAUUACAAAGUUAAUACAACAAUAUCGAUAAUACAUAUAAUAACAUAACAUAGUUAGACACUUUAUUUCAACCUUUAUUUAAGAAUAAUAUGACCAAAUAAAAGAAUUACAAUAAAAUAAGUUAAACUAAUUUAAAUCAAUAUUAAAAUAAUAGAAUAUAAUAAAGUAUAAAUAAUUAAGAAUACCUAAAUUAAAUAAGAUAGAAUAUUAAAAAUAAAUAAUACAUUAUAUUUCAUUAAACAACAAAAAAACGAUUUUGAGUUGAACUACGACAAAUACGUCUUAAUUGACAACAACAAACAAUAUUGAUUUGAACAACAAUCAAUAUUAUGUUGGAUAUCAUUAUGUUUAAAAGAGACGGCGUGAUGAUGAUGGAGCGUAGUUGCAUAUCAUUUUGAUAUUGACAUACUAAAAUUUUAAAUUUUUUAAAAAAAUGGUUAAUUUGAUGCAUUUUUUUUAAUCGGGUGGUUUUACAAAAUCGACUCCAGUUUUUUUGGUUCGAAUGGUUUUGGACGGUUCAAUAUGGUUUUUACGGUUUUACUCCGAUUUUAACUCACUAACGGUUUUGAAAGGUUCACCCAACUAGAUUCAUCUACGGUUCCCAGUCCAACAGUUGAACCGGCCGGUUCGGUCCAGUUUUUAAAAUAUUGGUUUCAAGCGCUUCAUGUUUCAUAUAGGUUAGAUUUUCAAUUUUCAGCAUGCUUUUAUAUUGGAUGUCCCUUAGAUUUCACAUGGAUCACUAAUAGCAGAUUCUUCAGCGUUGAUAAACAUUAAAGGGGCGUCAAAGAUUUGUUUAAGGGCAUUGAAUAUAGAAAAAAAAACUUAAAAUUACAUUGUUUACACAUAAUAUUUAAAAUACAUUGUAAAAUCUGUUUCCCAAUGAGAAUUUUUAUUUUCCAUGCCCAGGUCUCAUGCAAGAGGUUAGCUAUCUGUUUCCCAAUGAGAAUUUUUACUUUCUGCACUUACAAUCCAUCCUAGAGAUAUGUAGUAGCAACUCAUGAUCAAGUGAACGGUGGUGAAUAUCCCUUCCAACAGAUAUUCAUCAAAACUCUUCCAAUUGAUCUCUAGGAUAAAAUGACGUUUAAUGAACAUCUCUUUGGGGCGGCUACAUAUAAGUUAGUCUUAGGGUAAAAUCUGUUUAACGAGUUUUUUUAUAGUAAAGUGUGAUUAUUAAACACCUCGAUUUUAUUAUAAAAUCGAGAUGAAUAAUUCUAUUUUUUUAAUUACCAUGUUUACAUGAAAUAUUAAAAUGCAUUGUUUACAACAAAUCUUCGGUGAUAUCCAUAUUUUGUUGGAUACCCUUUAAAACAAUUUUUUUUGAAACAAGAAAGAUUUUAUGCACUUGCAAUUUAUCAAAUGAGUACUUUUCAAAGGUCAAGCUCUCUUCUUUAACGGAGGGUUAUUCCAAAAAUACAAAAAUGACAACAUCAACACCAUUAUGUGAGAUACAUUACAAGUGCAGAAAAAAUAUUUUAUUCAAAAUAGAACAUUGAAGUUUUUUCUGUCUUGCAAUCCAUCCCAAAGAAUGAUGCUUGCGAGUUUGGGGCGACUUCAUAUUAAUAAGGAUUAUGGUAAAAUCGGUUUAACGAGUGCUUUUAUAGAAUUUUUUAAAUUAAUUUAUGCCUCGAUUAAAUAGAAAACCGAAGAGUUAGAACAUUUUGCUUACACUUAUAAACAAAUAAAACCAUAAAUUAUGAUAGUUGAGAAUCAAAGCUUGUACUGAGUUAUUUUUUCACCUCGGUGAUGCUUACACUUAUAAACAAAUAAAACCAUAAAUUAUGAUAGUUGAGAAUCAAAGCUUGUACUGAGUUAUUUUUUCACCUCGGUGUUAUGAAAAACGAGGGAAUAUAUGAUUUUAUUUUUUAUUUUUUUUAAAUAAUAAAAAAUAGCGCGCCUUGACUUUAUACUUCAAUUUUCUAUUGUUCGAGCUGAAAGAUUCGUCAUGAAAAACGUUAUUUAUUAUAGUGUCAGCUGAGUAUCCGCGAGUAUGUGUUAUAUUGGCAUGCCUAGUUGAAACUUAAUGAUUUAGAGUUAAGGAAUUGUGAAACUCAUUUAUUGGUUUGAAAGUGAAUAUGAUGUUCGCAUCAUAUGAUAAAUGAGACCAUACGGAAACUAUUUGCAACACAUUAGUAAUCUUUUUGGACUAAAAAUGAUAUUCAUUCAAAUUGAUAGAAUACAUGUAAUAAUACAAAUUUAAAAUCACUAUAAACUAAAAAUGAUGAGCAUGCGAACAAACUCAGAACAACCACAUUAGUAGCAUAUAACAGCAAAAUGCCCACAAAUGUGACAACAUACAAAUAUAACGAAAUUGAAAUGCUCGAAAUAUCCAUAUCUCUGAGUUUGCAGCAUUGAUAACGUCAAAGUCAUUGAUUAAAUAUGCACUGAGUCAAAACUAAUAUGUUAAUCUGAACUAAACAAACAUCACACCAAAACGGUAAAAUAAAAUAACGCCACAAUAAGACGACGAAAUUACAGGAACAUAAAUUUAAAAUAUAUGUGAAAUCACUUAUUUAAAUAAAAAGCAAAGGAAAAAUAAUUUAGAGUAGUUAUUUUGAAUAAAAAAAUUGACUCUAAAACCACAUCUCUUUAUUAGAUGAAGAAAAAGAAAAAAAGAUAGAGUUGAAGGAAGAAUAUAUUUUUUAUUACAUCUCUUUAUUAGAAAAAGAAAAAAUUGACUCUAAAACCACACUUUGACACAUUAGUAACUUAAAGAAUUUUUUAUUACAAAUAUUUUACUUAAAUGACAAUAUGUAAUACUAUGCAUCACAUUUUUUAUAGUAGGGACAAAGGCACAGUCAAAAGUAUCUCAGAGUAAAUUUUUGCAUUUGUUGAUUAAUGAUUUAGGUGGAUAAAACUUUUAUUCAAACGUGACAUUCAUGUCCGACAAAAAAAGUAUUUUUUUUGGAAUUUUGUGUCUGCGUUAUGUUUAUAUAGUAAUGUGACAAUGUGAUUUCUGUGAAUAUUUUUGUGUAAUUGAUGAAUUAUGUUUUGUUUUGAUACCUGAUGUAUUUCUAAUUUUAUGAUUUAUUGAUAUUUUCUUGAUGCAUUUUGAUGUCAUGAAAGAUUAUGAUUCCUAGAUGCAUUCUUUUCCACAUACGACUAGUUUCCGCACAAUUUUCAUGUACUUCUAUUGCCUGCAUUAUUUUCAUACACUAACAUACGAUUUCUUGAUGCAAAUCCAAGCUCGACCAACGGAUCGGCGAUAAAAUUUAUUAGAAGAAAACAUGAUUGUAUGUAUGGUGAGUAUGCAUGAUCAUAAUUAUGGAUGUGCAAGAGUACAUACAUAUGUUGUUAGAGAAGAUAACUAACUCAAAAGUUAGUUAGCUAUAUAUAAGAACUUAAGUCUCACUUUAUAACUCAAUGAGUAAAAUCACCAUGCAAGCUAAGUUUGCACGAGUCUCAAUACAAUUAUUCAUUCUCUCAUUCAUGAAAGCAUUCACUUAUCUUAAUAUGGUAUUAUAUGCCUAGAAAGGGCCACUUCCACUACAUCAUCUUCAACCUUAGGGUGUUCUCGACUAUAAUGGAAGGUUGAUCGUUAAGGCUCCAAUGUCUCAUAACAGAACCUUCAAGAUUGAGAGCAUAAGUGCCUUGCAACAGAAGCCAACAGAGAUGAAUGGAUAUGACACUAUAGACUUGGCCAUCUAAAUUUCAAAGACAUCGGAGAUUUAAAGAGAAGAAAUAUGGUUUCAGGAUGACCAAAAAUCGACAUUCCAAAUGAAGUGUGUGAAGAAUGUGUGCAGGUGAAGCAGCACAAGCACAACUUCAGUAAGGAUGCAGGAAGCAGGUCGAAGGCAAUUCUUGAAGUCAUAUACUCUGAUGUAUGUGGUCCUCUCUAGGUGGAUUCGAUUGGAGGUAACAAAUACUUUGUUACAUUCAUAGAUGAUUUAAGUCGAAAAUUAUGGUCUUACCUGAUCAAGAAGAAAAGUGAAGUGAUUGAGGUAUUUGCCAAGUUUAAAUCUAUGGUCGAAAGACAAAGCGGUAGAAAGAUCAAGAUUCAGAGGACUGAUGGUGGUGGAGAAUAUGUGUCAAAAUACUUUGAUGCAUUAUGUGUGAAAGAAGGGAUUGUGCAUAAGGCGGUGCCACCUUACACUCCACAGCAGAAUGGAGCCGCAGAAAUGAAGAAUAUAACCAUCAUGAAUAUGGUUAGAAGUAUGUUUAAAGGAAAGCAUCUACCCAAAUAAUUAUGGGGAGAAGUUGUGUCGACUGCGACAUAUAUCCUGAAUAGAUGUCUGAUGAAGAAGCUAGAAGGAAUCAUGCCAGAAGAAUGUUGGUCUGGUGUCAAGUCUAGAUUGAGUCAUCUUAAGGUGUUUGGAUCUAUAACACAUAGACAUGUUCCAGAUCAGUUGAGAAGAAAACUUGAUGACAAGUCGAAUCAGAUGAUCCUGAUAGGAUAUCAUUCGACUGGAGGAUACAAGUUGUUCGACCCAGUGAAUAAGCAAGUGGUGAUACAUAGAUGAGCUUAAGGAGUGGGAUUGGACUGAGAAUGUCAAGAAAGAUUCAGUGAGAAUCUUUUAUGAUGAACCAGCUAGUGAAGUCGAAAGAGAAGUUCGACAGGAAGAAGUCAGAGGUGAAGCAGGCCCAAGCAGAUCUCAAAUAACAAGACACAUGCCUGUAAGGUUGCAAGAAUGUGUGAUUACAUCAGAUGACGUGGUGAAUGAAGAUGGUGAGCUGAUACAUUAUACUUUCUACGCAGAUGUCAAAACAGUCAAUGCGACUGAGGAAUUGAAAGAUUCUAAGUGGAUGAAAGCAAUGAAUGAAGAGUUGAAGUCAAUCGAAGUCAACAACACUUGGUCACUUGUCGAAUUGCCCCAAAAUAAGAAGGAAAUCAAUGUGAAAUGGGUAUACAAGGUGAAGUUGAAUCCUAAAGGAGAAGUAACUCGACACAAGGCAAGCCUUGUGGCGAAAGGAUUUCUUUAGAAAGAAGGAAUCGACUUCGUUGAAUUUUUUGCAUCUGUUGCUAGGAUCGAAAUAAUCAGGUUGGUUGUUGGUCUAGAAAACAUAAACAACUAGAAGAUGUGUCAAAUGGAUGUGAAAUAUGCAUUCCUUAAUGACCCCUUAUAAGAAGAAGUUUAUGUUGCACAACCAGCUGUGUUUGUGAAACAAGGCAAAGAAAAAAAGGUGUACAGGUUGCAUAAAGCCCUAUAGGGACUUAAACAAGCUCCAAGAGCUUGGAACAAUAAGAUAGACUAUUUUCUAAGGGAGAAGGAAUUUAUGAAGUGAAAAUAUGAACAUGAAGUAUGUAAGACCCCAAUUUUGACCCUAAGAUCCCUCAUGCUAUCUCAUCAUAUACAUUGGCAUUAGGAUCACCCCUUGGCAUCCUCCUUACCCUUCAUUCAUUAGGUUUAUAUUGGGAGAGUUCAUCGAGCACCAUGUGAUUGUAUAAUACUUUGUAUUUUAUCAUCUUUACUAACCAAAAUACCAAAAAUAUGUCUUUGCAUUUGUCUAAUUUUCUUUUGCAGGUAGGGCACAUGAUCACCUUUGAUCUAUCAAGUUCACAUCUAGGGCUUAAGACCCUCAUUGCUAAGAGCUUAAACAAUAAAUGGUCCACAAUGGCUCUAGGAAUCAUAUGUGAGUCCCUAUGAUCUUUGCAUAUUAUUUUGAUCAAGAAUUCUUCAAGAGUGUGGAAUUGGUUUGCCUUGGAAACCCUAGUUCAUAUGGGUAUCUCGUGUAACUUCUCCACCAAGCUUCUUCAACAAUUGAUCAAAUACUUCAAGGGAAACUUCAAAUUUCAUCAUAUUAUGUAUAUAUUAUCUCCCAUGAGUCUAAAAAGUCAAGAUAAUUGCAAGUUAGCAAGUUGGUUAGUGGUGGUUGACCAGAGGAAUUCAUCUCAUCAAAACUGGGGUCCCUUAGACUCUAUCUCCUACAAUUUUCAUCAUAUGAAAAUGAUUCCAAGAUAAACGUUACUCUAAAUGACAUUACAAAUAACUUUCAUGUUGGGGUAUUGUCGCUACACGAAAAAUACAGAGUCGCCAUCGGUUUUUAUUUAUUCCAAAGGAAAGGGAAAAUAUCGAGAAAACCCCAAAGUAUGGUCGUUGCAACCACGAACAGGUUCGGAAGUCGGUUAUGCAAGGGGAAGGUAUUAGCACCCCUCACAUCCAUGGUACUCCAUGGGAACCAUCUAGGAUGUUUGCGCUUACGUGUGUUGUUUAUCGAAUGCUUGCUUGCCAAAGGAUUGCGGAAUGAAGGUAGAUUUUAAAUUAGUGUGCUCGCCAAGGAAUUGAUCCUCGUGCCUACGUAUACCCACUUGUUGAAGUGAGAAAUCAGAGCGUUCGUAGUUCGUGGUUUCUGAAAUUGUUUGGUUUGUUUUGUUGAUUUUAUUACCUUGAAGAAGGGUUUUCGGAUGGUGUCUCCCUAAGGCUCAAACAAAAGGUUUGAAUGCGUUGAAUUGUUUUUAAAUUUUGAAGAAAGUGUUAUUGAUUUCGGACUGCACUAAAGACUAUGGAUAAAGGUGAAUGCCUCAAACGGUCAAGCCGAACGUCUUGUGUUCGAAGCAUUCAGGAUGAGUGUAGGAGAGCUCCAGUCUCAUCCCUUCUUUAUCGCUUAAGGCUCGUGACGUACGAUCCUAAUAGCCAUUUAUUAUAUUUUUGAGUUUGGUUUAGAAAAUGACCGCUUGACGUUGGAUCAAGGGUCUGUUUAUUGAAUUUGACUUGAAAAAGGACCACUUGACGUUGGAUCAAGGGUUUGAUUAUUGGUUGCGAAAGGGUGAACGUUCCUAAUGCCUAAGGAGUAUCUAACAAGAAAUAAAAGAAAGCAAGUAAAUGCGUACAUCGGAAAGGGGAUGGGGUACAUGUAAAGUACAAGGGAGUGCGGAAAUAAAAGGUCUCAUUGUCAGGUAGCCCAAGAGAAAGCCUUGUGUGUGCAAUUGUGUUCUAAGCAUGCAAACUAUUACAAUUGAUAUUACAAAUUCUUUUUUGAUACUUGAAUUCUUCCAUGGUAGAUCACAUUUGUCCAAAGCCUCUUUUGCAAAGGGUCCUAAUGAGUCUCUAAGUCCAUUGUCCAAAGUUCUCUUCAUGCUUGGGAGAUUGUUAUCUUUUUUCAUUUUUUAAAGUCUUGACCAUUUUUAGAUUCAUUUUAGAAUGAAGUGAAUAUGAUGGAAUAUGGAUGUACAAUGUGAUAAAAAGCAAAAUAAAAGUAAGAGUGCAUAAAUUAAAUGACCAAAAUUAAAGGUUAGGAGCGGAAAUUAAAAGCGGAAAAUUAAAGGAAUUAGAGGCGGAAUUGUAAAGGUUAGAAGUUAAUGUGCGGAAAUUAAAGUUAGGUGCAAAAAGUAAAAGAAUUAGGUGUUAGAAUUAGUAAUUAGAUCAAAGUUAAUCAAUAUAAGAGAAUUAAAUCCAACUAUCAAUUCUACAAUAUUAACAAAAUAAAGUCUAAAACAAUUAAUCAAAAUUAGUUCCAAAAUAUUACCAAAUUUAAAUCCUAAAACUAACAAUCAAAUUAAUAUCUAAAACAAUUUACUAAAAAAUAUCUAACAAUUAUUUCUAAACCAAUACCUAAUUAUCCUAAUAACUAAAAUAAACUAGGUUAAUUGACUGAACAACCAAAAACAUGUGGAGUGGAUUGACAAAUAUGCAUAAUGGGCCUGAAGAAAAAUAUCUAACAAUUAUUUCUAAACCAAUACCUAAUUAUCCUAAUAACUAAAAUAAACUAGGUUAAUUGACUGAACAACCAAAAACAUGUGGAGUGGAUUGACAAAUAUGCAUAAUGGGCCUGAAGAUGGUAGGGAAGGCCCAUUCGCAGGGGAGGUUGCAUCAGUGGACAAGGGAGGUGCAAGACAAAUUCCAUUUGGGCCUGAGGCAAGCCUCUACGAGGCAUCUACUGUACGCAGGUAGCAAAAAAUGAAAAAACAAACAGAAAAGCGCUUAAUCAAACGCGCUUAUUCACAAACAGAAAUGCUAUCAAGUCUCAUAUGGAGAUUCUACCAGAAACUCAUACACGAUUACGCAACGGUGACAGAUAAUCAUCAUCCACAAUCCAAUACAUUAUCGUAGCAAAGGAAUCAAAGUGUGAGCACAAGGAUUAAGAGCUACCUGUCGGAGACGACGGCGGAGGUGGCGACGAUGAUGACGAAUACGAGCAUAACUUCUGAGCGCCUCUCUUCCUCUUCUCACAGUGUUGGUGCGACCUGGAAUUGUGUGAGCGAUGACGAUUUGCAAGCUUUGAAGCUUCCGGCGGUGGCGGUGGCUUAGCUCAGCUGUGUAGAGCUUCGAGUGAUGAAGCUCUCACAACAAUGAAAAAAAGAGCGUGUACUGAAGGUGGGAGGGAAGCGAUUGCACGAUGCUUUUGGAAUGAGGGGGAAAAAAGUCUGAACCCCAAUGAUUGGCAAUGAUUGCCUCUUAUAUAGCACGAUCCAAGGGAAAAUUGGAGAAUUAAGUCUGAUUCAUCCAGCUGGCACCUAAGUGAAUGAGAAGGUGAGUUUUUACAUCGUGAAUUAAGUCACGUGGGAUUUGACAUAAUUCCAAUUCUCUAAUCCAUUUGCUCCCAAUUCCUUGAUCCACCAUGGAUAUCUGCACUGCAUUGCUUUGAGAUUGGUUUUAACCGAAUUCUUCAAAUCUUCUUGAAUUGGUCUUGCCCUUCUGAUAUGGUUUUGAAGCAUGAUGACAUUGCUCAAUUGCCUUAACAUGUUGCAGAUGGUAAGAUAGACCAGCUUGGCCGUGCUUUUAUUGUUGUGCCAUUGUUGGUGUAUUUUGUGGGAUGGAUGGGGUGUUGUCUUAAAUUGCUGCAAGUUGUAUGCUUCACCACUUCCAAUUUGGGUGUAGUUUUUUAUUUCAAGGUCAAUGAUGUGCCAUUGUUGGUGUAUUUUGUGGGAUGGAUGGGGUGUUGUCUUAAAUUGCUGCAAGUUGUAUGCUUCACCACUUCCAAUUUGGGUGUAGUUUUUUAUUUCAAGGUCAAUGAUCUGAUUUGAUGUCGAACACUAUUGCCUCCACUGUUACCAGGUUUGCAAUCCUGAGUUGCUUGACCUAUGAACCACCUGUUUACAUUGCCUUUGAUGAAGUGUUUUUGGUUUUGAUCAUUGCAGGUCUACAGCAGGCAUGUGGAUCUGGCUUAUGGAGUGGUUUUGAUAGUUUUGCUUGAACUGAUGUGAAUAUGGUUGGUUGUUGUACAAGGCCGAGCUGCUUGUAAAUGGAUGAUAGCUGCUACAGGUACAUCUGACUGAAUUGUUGCUGUUACUAGCCGCUGAGUCUGCUUUGUUGAAGUGACCAAAUGGCUAAUUGCAGGUUAUGUUGUGGUCGGAAGCAUGGUAAGCCAUUAUGAUUUAGGUGUUUCACUGUAGGAUCACUUGGCUUGAUUGGGAUGCUUUAUGGUGAGCUGAAUUACCUGCUGCCAGUAAAAUGUCAACAUGAUUCCAAAGGAAAUGGACAUGUAUAAGCAUCCCAAUACUGGCCAAGAACAGAGCAGCAAACAAGUUGCGAAUUGGCUCAACUUGUUCAAGCGUAUGUUGACCAAGAUCCAUUGUUGAUAUCAUUACUCUCGCGGCAAAUGAACCUAGUUCAAGACUUAAACCCAGUUUAUCACCACACCAAGCAACCAUUAGACAGAAUGCCACGGAUGCUAAUUGAUAAAGUUCAUUGGUCUGAGAUGACAGGCUUAUCAUAAGCUUAAGGAACCAGGGUACGCAAGCACAAGGUAAUAUUGACAAAACGACCAAAAAUGAAAUUAAGGUCAACAAAGAUUUACUCAUGGAUAUUACUCCCUGAAGAACACCUGAGGUUCCACCCAAGACAGGAAGCAGUGCAAAGAGCAAACCAACAGCACAAUCCUGCAGAAUCAGAGUUCCAAUUAUAACCUGACCAUGAAGGGCAUUGACGCUGUUCCCUUCCAUUAAGAAUUUCAAGACCACUGCUGUUGAAGACAUGGAUAAAAAUGCACCAACAAAUAUUCCUUCAGAUGGUUCACCACCACAUAACGAAGGUAUUAUUCCACACCUGCACAUAAAUAAGAGAAUUUGCAGCAGAUUUACAUGGUUGGUAUUUUAGCUUAUGUUGCUGAUUGAUUACUUCAGGUUGUGAUGCUACUAUGCAUGUUGAAUGCCAACUUAUGAUGAUUCUGAGUUGAUGAUCUUCUGCAGGGUCUCUAUUACCUUAUAUUGGUCAUGGUUGCCAAUGAUCAAAUGCAGGUUGAAUUUAAUGGUUAUAGUUGCAGCAUGCAGACGGUUUUACAUUGAUGUGGGGAACUUGGCCUUCGUUCUGCAACAGGGUAGUUUUGUGCAUCUAUUUGGUGAAUUGGCUUGGUCUCAUGGUCUGCUUCAUGGUGUAGCAUGGUCACACCUUAUGCUACCACUAUGACAUUUGCAUCUGAUGGUUCACCACAUUGCAGGAUUUGUGGUAUUUGAAGAUUGCUCCACAUGGUUGUUCGCAUCCCCAUUGUACUGUUGCACAUUGCCAACUAGUGAUGCCAUGGUACUGCUGGCUUGCAAGUUGCUUGGCACGCAUGCAACUGAUUCAAGGAUCACGAUGGUGUUUGAAGGGUCAAAUGGUGAUUGAGACAGAUGGCAUAACAGGUCUGCAACCAGCAGGUAAUCACUGUCAUUCUGCAACACGACUACGACUUUAGGUUCAGGGCCAGUACAGAUAGGAUACGUUGGCUGGUGGAAUGGAUUUAGGGUAUUUAUCUUGGUGCAACCAUUGAAUUCACCUGGUCCUUUGUCUUCUUUUGCAGGUUGAUACUGUCUACGAUAAAGAUGCAGACUCCUUCAUGGCCUGCUGGGUUAGAAUGAUUUGCAGCAAAGUGUUGCAAAAUUCUACAAUAUUUCAUGACAGGCUGGAUGUGAUUCUGUAGGUGAGAUACCACUGCUGGUUGGUUGUAGGUCCACUCUUGGAACACUCCAUGAAUGAGUUCAGCAUCAGGUCACGUUGAUUCCUUGCAUCAUGACCAUGGUUCAGUUCUGAUUUUCCCUUGUGAUUGAUUUGAUUCAUUGUUUGGCUAGGUAUGAUGACAGCUCGUUCAACAAGGUGAUAAAGUACCCCAAACCUUACAUUGCUUGAUAAUUUUGGAUGCCAAGCCCUGUAUGAAGCUGCUGAAUGGCUUUGGUCUCCUUUGUAGGGCAUGAAUGCAUAUGGUAGUGGCGAUUAGUUGAACAAAGCAGCACAAUGGCCAAAACUGAGUUUUAUGACCACUCACAAUACAUGGCAAACCCAAAAAACAACAGUCAAAGAUUCAGAAUUGGAGAUAUAAGGUUUUAGGAAUUUGGGGGAUUGGGUUGACUUUGGUCAAAGUUGACCAAAAAGUCAACUGUGGACCUAAAAGUCAACUGUUGGUCAACACCUCUUUCUUUGUAUUUUCCAUGUAAUGAACCUUUUAUGAUCAUGUAAUGAAUGACAUUUCUUCAUUUGAAUGAACUUGGAUUGGUAUUUGAACUGAAUGGCUCUUGAAAUAAAUUAAUUUGAUGUUUUUAUAUGAAUAAACGAAUCUUGAACAUGUAUUGUAAUGGGGUGAAAUGGAUAGUAUAAUGACACUGACUGAAUUAAUUAUGAAUGACACUCCAAUGAUAAUCAGGAAACAAAGGACUUAGAAAGGAUCAAGAUGUGCUGAACUACAACCUCCAUAAACCAAACUCUAGAGCCACUGAUCAUGAGCAUGGUGAAUAGAAACACAACCAAGAACUCCACACGAAUGAACCAGGAACAAGAAGUUGUUGAAUGCCAUUUAAUCAAACAAGGAGAUCAAGCAUCAUGAAUGAUGAUGUGCCAGUUGAAAUUAGGGUUAGGAGGCCACAAUAUAGGAGUUUGACCUGAUUAGGGUUUAGGGAGCCGUGACCAAGUGAGGACCCAUAAAUCAGGGUUUUGAUCCCUCAAGAAACCACCAUUGUCACCAAAUAUAAGCAUAAUACCCAAGCAUCUCUAGGAUAGGGUUUGAUUGGGGCCACCCCAAGUUUGCUGAGAAAUCCUAGCUUCCACCAGGUAUAAGCAUAAAGCUCUAAAUUCAAGUCACUGCCAUCUUAUGUUGAACCUUGCUUAUGUAGAUGAAAUGCAUGCUCAUGAUGAUAUGCAAAUGUUUAGGUUAAUGCUCUAUAUGAUCAUGGUGAAGGGUGAGGCGAAUUUUGGGGUAUGACAGGUAUAGAGCUAGUUUUGCUUGGAAAGUCAUUUUUUAUGGCGAACGAUUAUAGGUCAUUUUGUCUAAACCCUAAUUUGGAGGUCAACUUCCCAAGACCAUAACUUGCUCAAUUUUUAUGAGAUGAAGUAUUUACAAGUUGCACAAUCAAAUUAAAGGUGUCUAAUUCAACUUUUAUGUUUGGAGGAAUAGUUAAUUCAAUUUUUAUGAGCAUGUGAUAUGAGGAUACAUUAUAGGUCAUUUUGGACCAAUGCCAUUGAACAAGUGAUUUUCCUCAACUUCAAAAAUGAAUAACUCCUUCAUCUCAAAUCUAAAUGAGGUCAAAUUUGUGACCAUUUUGAAUUACUUUGAAAGAGAUACAACUUUUAUGAAGAGACUUUUCUCAUUUGAAGCUCACACAAAAAGUUAGCCAAGGUGGAAUAAGUGAACAUAUGGCUUGACACUUAGAAAAUUUUUUGAUAUGUUAAAAUUUCCAAACUUCCACCUCAAAAUUCAUCAUGAUACAAGCUUCAAAUGGAAAAGUGUUCAACAUAAGAGUUGUUCCUCUUGAUCUAACCUCUCAAAAAAGUCCAAUUUUAUCCAUUUUGGACAAGGUUUGAGUGGUAUGCGCAUGGCUUGAACAUGGCAUAAUCAUUUGGCAAAAUCAAAAAUUCAAACAGCCAUACACAUUUGCCUUGCAUUCCAAGUUGCUUUCAGACUCAUUCACACUAAGUUAUGGACCUAAAUGAGUGACUUCAUGGGCCUGUACACGCCCAUGUAAGCAUGCAUCAUCUAUUGCCAAUUUUAGAAACAACUUCAAAGGGUGCAAAUAACAUGAGUUGCAGCUAUAAAUAGAGACCUCUAGGCUCAGAAUUAAAGACCCCUUCGCGCCAGCUUUGCUCCAAUACCCCAAACCCUUCCAUUUGAAAGGAUAAACCUGAGAAUUUUCUUUGAAAAUUGAGUUUGAAUCUCACUAUUUUGAGAUUCAAAACUCCAGGGAUCCAAAGCCUUUGGUUGAUUCUAAUCUACUUCUGUAAGCUUCCUGAGUGAGAUCAAGCAAGAAUCAAAGCAAGAGCAAUCGAAUUCUGCACAACAUUGAAGGUAUUUUCUAGAAUUUUUCAUCUCUUCGAUUCUCUCUCAAUUCUCCAUAAUUCUCUUGGUUCCUUGGUUGUCUGAAGUACUACCAAUGUAGGCAAGAAGAUUGAGUUGCUUUGAGAUCAAAUCGAAGUAACUCAGAUCAUGUACCUCAAAUUUCAACUCCAUGUAUCUCUCAAUAUACUUGGAGUUAGGAUGAAUUGAGGCCAGAUUCAUGAUCAGUGCCAUUUUUACUUCAAAAUCAUGCCCUUCUUUUUUAUUUUAGUGAUGGUGAUGAGUGGACCAGUCCGACGAAGGUCGCCUGAGAAGGUGACUAGAGUUUUACUCCGGUGGUGAGCUUGCAAGGUCCAGAGCCACAUGAUCUAUUCAAAUUGUUUUAAUCACGAGCGUUGGUUUUGAUUACCACUUGUGUGUCGCACUGACUCAAUUCCAUCAUGGAACGCGUGCUUGUGACCACUUGAUCUGCCACCUCAAUUAAUGAGGGAGAUCAAGUGGUCCACGUUUUUUCUGAUUUUUCAAAUUUAAUUUUAUUUGUGUUAUUUUCAUUAAUUCAUAUUAAUUUUAAUAUUGAUCCAAAUUUUGAGGAGACUCCAAAUCUUGAGAGCCUAGAUCUUGAAGAAUGUAUAAAACUCGUGAAGAUUGAUCCAUCCAUUGGUACAUUAAGGAGGCUUUCCAGAUUAAAUUUGAAAAAUUGUACAAAUUUGGUCAGUAUUCCUAACAACAUUUUUGGUCUGAAUUCUCUCGAAAAUGUAUAAAACUCGUGAAGAUUGAUCCAUCCAUUGGUACAUUAAGGAGGCUUUCCAGAUUAAAUUUGAAAAAUUGUACAAAUUUGGUCAGUAUUCCUAACAACAUUUUUGGUCUGAAUUCUCUCGAAGAUUUAGAUCUCUCAGGCUGUCCAAACUUAUUUAAUAAUCUGUUAGAUAUACAAAGCCAAAUAGAACAUCCGGAGAUGCUUGAUAACAAGGAAAUCACUACCCAAUACCAACCAACAUCCUUCAUCUACAAAUUUCUAAAACCGCACUUUCGAUAUUUGACUUUUCGAAAACCUGAAGAUUCAGUUGGUUUAUUGUUGCCUUCAUUGUCUAGUUUGUCAUGUUUGCAAUCUCUUGACCUGAGUUUCUGCAAUCUUUUUCAAAUCCCUUAUGCAAUUGGGUUGUUACAUUGCUUAGAAACCCUAUAUUUGGGGGGGAACAAUUUUGUGACACUACC